GCAGCCUAUUAUACUGUGAUAUACAAUGACUUGGCUCACCCCACCCAUAGGGAACUAUGAGUCUGAAGGUCUAAUACGUCGCAAGGAAGACUCACGAGGAAGAAGAAGAAAAAAGAAAUAGCAACAAGUCAGGGGACACAAGAUGGAGUAAUUGUAAUGAGGACAAUCGGUAUGACGAAAUGACAGUCUGGGUACUUGGUACCAUUCUGUCAUACAAUUUAAGGAUUUGCUUAGUCUGGAAAUCAGCCUGGGAGGAUAUGGACCAACAAUCAUCCUAGACGUUUUCAAUGCUGAAUCCAACCAGUCGGUCCACAAGUCAAACGUGGUAGUUGUCAACGAUCACCCCAUCGAGAAUUACCCUGUGGUUCCUUAAAACUUACUUAUGCGCCUGGAAGAACCACGAACUGAGAAUCACGGUUGCCAACGACAAGAGGACAAAUUCUUUUAUGAAAGUCGAUAAGUACCAAGAGUAACAGCCAGAAGCCAGAACCCCUCAGAGUAUAACUACGGUUCGAUAAGAAGAUCCGGCUGCACGACAAGGAAGAGCGAGGAACGAAAGUCUCACGAAGAAAUAUUGGAGUGAACAAAUGUGAAAAUAUUCAAGAUCGACGUAGUUGAGAUAACGCGAAAUUUAUAUCCUUUUUAUUUUGCGUUUGUCGCAAGCAGAGAUUCGUUCGUACGCGUGUAUGAGUAUGUGGAAAUAGUCCCUGAUAAAUAAUUAUCAAAUCCAAAUUCAAGAUAGUAUGCCUUUUCUUUAUAUAGUCUGCUGCGAGUUACGCAGUAUUUCUUUUGGCGUUAUUUAUUUCUAAGUUAUUAUCAUUUAACUGUACCAUUCUCAUAUUGCUCAUUUUAUUUUCUUGCGUAAUACUGCCAUUCCUACUGUGUGCAAUUGUGCAUAUGUUAUUCUGGUAAAUCGCCAAAUUCGAGGUAUCUAAUAUUUUUACUCGAUUAUGAAAAAAGGCAUAUACACCAUCAUGGAUGGCACAGAUAGCAUCAAUUCUAGUACGAGCUGUGCGUUAGGAUAGUUGAAUGUUAACCUUAGCUGGUCCACUUGUCUGGUCGUGUAACGAAUGUCCACAUUGGGGUAUUUGAGUACCCCACGCUACUUAGUUCCUACUUAUGAUUAAAUCCAUUUUUUAUUAGUAUACGAAUCGUGGGAUCAGAGUCUGAUAAAGAUGUUUAUCGCAAAAUGAAUUUCAAAUUUGUUAUUUCCAAGCAGUACAUCAGAGAAACAUAUAAGUGAGGCAAGUAGUCAAAUUGAAUUUUUCCAAAAUUUCCAAAAGAAUGUAAAAUAAUGAAAGAAUAUGAGCAAAGGAGGGGGGGGGGGGCGAAAAAAAGCACAUAGUCGAUCCUGACGACAGGGUCCAAAACGGAGUCUGGCAAUGAGUGCGAGCGACAGAGUAAAGGAUGGAUGAAGUCGAUAGAAUACAUAAGAAAACACGAGUGUCUUUAGGUACGCGAUAAACGUGAGAUCAAAGCGCAAAAGAAUUCCUGAAAAAGUAAAAACAGAGAAAAACGUGAAUCUUAUCACAUGUGUUUAUUUAAAAGAAAUUUCAAAUUCUGAAACAUUUUUCCCGUGAAAAGCGCAUUCGAUAACGAAAACACUAUGUAGUUUAACGCGUAUAUCGGUACCUUUGCGAUAUUCGAUGAAUAUUUUAAUAAUAAUGAUAAGUAUAGGAAAA